CUAAGUGUGCAAAUGUACACUGUCUGCAUCUAACUUUAUAAGGGCUCUAGGGAUCUGAACUUGGGUCCUCAUAGUUGUGUGGUAAGAGUUUUACCCACUGAGCCAUCCUCCUACCCCAUGCCGUGUGUGAGGUUCAGAUGAGACUCAAGCCCCACGCUGUCCCUCGCAUGCAAAUAUUCUGUCCCUGAUUGUCACUACCUUUCACCCAGGGAAGUGGAGGUGACUGUCCGCAGCAUAAUGAAGAAGAAACGUAAGCAUGUGGAGAAAUGUGCCUGAGAGCAGAACCAGAUCUCCCGCUACUGUCUGUCCCUCAGACCACCACAGCUGCAAGAAAGAGGUGCCGAGGCCACCUCCGCCCUGUUGGAAGGAGAAGUGAAACACAAGCCACCAGCCCAAGAACAGAGAGAAGGAACUAGAGACUUUUAUGUUCCCCGAAGACCUCUGAUUGGUUUCCCUGAAGGAGAAAGCUAUAUUGAAAAUAAACUCCUGUCACAUCUCCUGGCAAUGUAGAGGUCUUGUGGGACAGCAGACAACAUUCCAGCCCUGCACCUGCUCUGUCCAAUGCCACCAGAGGGACUUUGUUACAGUAGACACUGCUGGGUCCUAGGUCCUCAGGAUAUCUCUGAAGCUGACUGUGCUUGGUCUGCUUUGUGUUGGUCUGGCUUCAAAGCAAACAGGCAAUCCGUCCUUGCAGCACGAUAAGACUUCCUUGUCCAGUCUGGCAUCCAGCCUUCUUCCAGUGUCCAAGGUUCUGUCAGCAAGGACGUUUGAGUCACUCCUUGGUUGAAACCCUGCCUGUGCCAUCUGCUUGCUGUGUGACCUUGGUAUCCAGCUAUAGAGACACCUCUGGAAGCUUCUCUCCUCGUCGCUCUCUACCCACCUCCAGUCUCUCUGGAAAGACUGCUAUAUCAGCCGCUCGCACAUUAGUCUAAGUCCCUGGGAUGCACUGAGUCUCCUGUCAGAGGCUAAUUUGCAUGACAUGCUGCUACACUUGCACCCAAAGAGUUCUUGCCAAUGUCACAGCGGUCUUUACAAGGUCUCUACGAGCCCCUUUGGUGAGCGAAGAAACAGAGUCAAGGAGAUGACAAAGUUUCUGAAGGUCACCCAGCAAAGCCCGAAAUGCCACUUUCUCUCUGGGGCUCAAGCCUCGAGUAAGUCUAGAGUCUUGGUAACAGCAUAGGACCCUCCCACCCCAUGCCUUCUUCCUAGAGUGAGGGCUGUCGGAACGUAGCACACAGUUUGCUUCUGCACAAGCACUCGCCAGAACUCCACUGGGUGCCGACGUAGAAAGUGAACUUGAAAUUCCACUCUCCUUUU